rnacentral:tRNA from 2 species
UGGGGAUUCGUCUAGCGGUAGGACAGCAGACUCUGGAUCUGCUUGGCCAGGUUCGAAUCCUGGAUCCCCAGCCA